AGCAAACUCCCAGCUGCCCCUUCCAGUGGAACCCAUGAUUUAACUCUGGAAUUUGUUUUGACUCACUGACUAUAAAAGCAACUAACAGGAACAUGUGGGAGUCAUUGUAAACUGCAGGUAAAACCCACUUUAAGAGAGAGAAACACCCCCAAACUGAGUAAACAGAUGAAACAUAUCAUAUCAUAUCAUAUCAUAUCAAUCAUAUCAUAUCGUAUGACAAAAGGAUUCUUCACUUUGUAAAGGGCAUUACCUCAGAAUUAUUUUAAACUCUACUUCACUGACAACAUUUCUACUAAUGAAAAGUCUCCUAUGUGAAUGAAAAUAACAUGGCUUGUUUUACAGGAGAUGGUCUGGGGCAUGAAGGAAGGUAUGGAUGGGUAAGGAAGCAAGUCUGGAAGCAGAAGACUGGGUUGGGAGUCUUGGGUCCAUGGUGGUGUUUGUCCAGAGACUAAGUCUAAAGCCUGUUGUCUGAGUCUCAUUAGAAAGAACAAUCAGUCAGAGCUGAACAAGUGGUGCUGAUGGCCUUCACCAGGGUGGCUUUGUGACUAAAUGUCUAAUUUAUUUACAGGUUUUCAAACAAAGCCCCUUUUUAUUAAAGGAACAGUUCUGUUAAUUUUAAAGUAUCCACUUACUGCAUUUCAUUUAACUGUGUUGACUUUAGGUAUUAAGAAAAUGGUGUGCUUCCUCACCUGUAAGGAUUCAUAUUCCCAAGAAAAUUAAGCCCUACAAAAGAUGUUAUGGAGGGGCGCCUGGGUGGCCCAGUCGGUUGAGCAACCGACUUCGGCUCAGGUCAUGAUCUCACGGCUUGUGAGUUUGAGCCCCGCAUGGGGCUCUGUGCUGACAGCUCGGAGCCUGGAGCCUGCUUCGGAUUCUGUGUCUCCCUCUCUCUCUGCCCCUCCCUGCUCAUGUUCUGUCUCUCUCUGUCAAAAAUAAAUAAACAUUUUUUAAAAAAAGAUGUUAUGGAAAAAUGCAUAGAUAUAUCUGUUCCUACGAUAGUAGCAUUGUUUUUCAAUAUGCUGAAAAGGGAACACAGGCGAAACUAUUUUUUUCUUUAUCACUAGGAAAUACCAUAGAAAGGAGACUUAUCACCACCUCUUGAAGGCAAUCUUUUUAAUAUGUGGAUUAUUGCUACUGAUUUAUUUUACAAACAUGGAUUAUCUUUACACCAAUUCACAUACAUUUUAAUUAAGAUAAAUUUGCAGAGAAAGGUUAACUUAAAAUGAACAACCAGCAUCUGAACUUCUUCCUAUGAAAAGGGUAGAUAAAUUAUUUGGAGAAAUGACAUCUGCUAAAUUUGGGCUGUCCAAAAUGGUGACUAUUUACAUUUAAAUUAAUUAGGAUUCAAUAAAAUUAACAAGUUGCUUAGUUGCACUGGCUAUUUUUCAAGUGCUUAAUAGCCACCAGUGGUUAGUGGCUAGUGCUCAGCACAUUGGGCAUAUGGAACACUUUUAUAAUACAGAAAAUAUUUCUCUAAAAUGUCUGAUUUUAAAUGAAAAAAAAUAAGAUAUGUAAACAACAAUAGUUGACACACAAAUACAUAUACUGCACAUCCAUCAGUAUUUCAGAAACAUUAAUAGCUGAAAAGAUCCCACUACUCAGAGAGUAGUAGAAAAUUAAAACAAAACAAAACAAAACAGGACCCUCAGUUUGAUAUGUAAAAUCUACCAAGGAAGAUGAAUGGCCAUUACAAGAAUAAAGAAUGAAUCUGCUUUAAGGGAAUAGAAUAAACAGAGAAAACAGCAGGUAAUUUCUAUAGUUUAUUACAAAAGCCUUGAAAGAAUGACUUUAAUGUAUAUUUUAUCUGUCAGCAUUUUACAUGUUGAUGGCUAAGAAGAUUAAUAUUAAACUUAUGAUUUAGGGAAUAAAAGUGAAAAGUAGGUAAUUGUCCCAUUAAAACAUUUAGACUUGAUGAACAUUAACCAAUCACCUGUUCUAUGUGAAGCAUCCUUUGAUUCAGAAGUUUUCUGCAGAAAAAAUAAAUUUUUACUUUACAUACAGGUGGAUCAAACCUAAGUAGAUCAAACCAUGUAAAUCAGUAUUGAAGACUCCCAAUAAUCACUUUCCAGUUUAACUGAUUUUUAGAUAUCUAAAGGAAAUUUCACAGACAUUUUAUAUCACUGUGGUAGCAUUAAUCAAAACCAUUUAUAAUAAUUUAUUUUUUCUCUUGUAUCUGUUACAUCACCCAGAUUUGUCAAAUUCUGGAUUUUUCAUGCUUGACAUUUAAUUUCAAAUGAGCCAAGUCUUCCUAGCAUCAUUGGAACAGCUAACAAUUAGAAUACAUCCCAGAGAAAAUGUGAAUGGAAUGCACCAACAUGCACAUGAAGCACUGUGAUUUAUUUGACACAAAUAUAUUGGUAAGGAAAGUGUAGAAAGAGAUCUGGGGGAAUCCCAGUGCCUUUCUGUGCAGAUACCCAGGACCUGCAGCUGAGGAUAAGGGGCAGGAACUAAUCCACAGCCAUUGCUAUUCUUGAGUCCUGAGAUGCAUCCUUUGAUCAAUUUAUGUGGAUUUUACUAAACUCUAGGAAGGCAGGAUAUUAGGUAGCUACACUGUAAUGAUUUUUUUAAGUUUCAUUUUAAGAUUCUACUGUUUAUGAAAGAGCUCUAAAUAAAUAUUGCCUUCAAGUAUGAAACUCUUGAGGCUCCUUAAUAUGUUUAGUAUUUGAGGCCAUCACAAUUACUCGUAUAAUCACAUACUCUGACAUAUUUGUUACCUCAUUUUAUUCAGAUGCACAAGUUUGUCUUCUUGGAAUAAAUUCUCUUUGCAAUAGAAGAGCAACAUCGAUACACUUUUUAGUUGUGUAGGUUUUGUCAAGCUUAUUAUAAAGUCUGUCGAAGCUAACUGUCUGCAUUCAAAGGGUUCAUAAUCGUCCCAUCUAAGGUAGAAAUUUUGGGCACGAUGGAAGAAUUAACAGGAUCCCAUAAUGAAAGAAAUUUCUUUCUUUUACAAGUAGUGACACAUAGAAAUAUAGUUCUUGUGCCUUGUACAGAUAAAAGUAAAGUUAGCUGCUGUGUUCAUCCCCAGUACAGUACUCACAACCUGUGUUUUUCAGGUUAGCUCUUGAUACUUUCAACAUACUGGGAAAUUUAAAUCUGAGGUCACUCUUAAAUUUAAGUCAUAUCUUGAUACUCAAUAAUGAUUACCUUCCACAAUAUCUUUUUAAGUGUGUAAAAUAAAGAGGCUUUGAAAAUCUCUGCAUGAGAACCUAAGAAAACACAGGACAGAAGCGAGGCAGGUUGAGUGAAGGUUUUUGUCUCAUGUAACACCGGUCAGUUUGCCAACUUCAUAUUUGCCUCCCUAUGGUAAGAUCUUGGCAGGUCAACAUCAUCCGAACAUAAAUCAUCCCUAAAAAUUCCCUUUUCUGGCCUCUGCUAAUCUAAUUCUUUUGCAUUCAGCCGAGUGCUCCUAAAGUUUAAUCACAAGCCUGAAAUACAUGGAAUAAAUUCCUUAAGAUUGAUACUAAUCAUAUGAGGAUAUCGACUGGGCAUACAAAAAUGAACUGCAAAUGAAAACUAGAAAUUGAGAUCCCAAAUUACCUGUAUUUAGAAAUCCAUGUCCAUCCAGUUCAUCAUUAGCAAACUCCCCUUUAUUCUUCCCACACUCACCUCCCACUCCAAAUUACAAUACUUAACCAAUUGGGAUCAGAAUGGGCUGAAUCAUAUGUAAAUUAUCCAGAGGGGCCUAGCUUAAAGUUUCUUAAAUUUUAAUGUGCACAUGAAUCAUCUGAGGAUCUUGUUAAAAUGCAGAUUAUUGUUUGAUAGGGCUCGUGUGGGGCCCAAAGUUCUGCAUUUCUAAUAUGCCUUCAGAUGAUGCUGAUACUCUGAUUCACAGAGGACACUUUGAAUAGCAAAGUUUUUUUUUUAAGUUUAUUUAUUUUGAAAGAGAGAGAGAGGGAGAGAGAGAGAGAGAGAGAGAAAGCACACAACCACAGGGAAGGGCAGACGAAGAGAAAAAUUCCCAAGCAGACUCUGCACAGUCAGCACAGAGACUGACUUAGGGCUCAAUCUCACUUACAGUGAGAUCAUGACCUGAGCCGAAAUCAAGAGUAGGACACUUAACUCACUGCCACCCAGGCAUCCUAAUAGCAAGGUUUUAAAGGAGAGCAUUAUUGGCUUUCCCAAAUUGUGAACUGCCUAUUAUAUUCCACACUGCUGAUGUUGACUGGAAACUUGACAGUUAUGUAUAUACAUAUGUGUAUGCACACACACACACACACACACACACACACACACACACGUGAAAUGACAUUCCAAAAGCUAUACUAAUCAUGAUCUUUAAGAAAUAUCACAAAUAGUAUAAUAUGCAUUACUUGGCUAAAAUGUAAAAAUCCAGAAUGUUACUAAUCAGAAAUGAUAAAUGGUAUCUGUAUUUUCCAAUAAAUUAUUUAUACUUUGCACUUCUGUCAUAGUUGAAAAUUAUAUUAAUAGUGCAAUUUCUAACAUAUGAGCUAUUAACUUUUUAAUGACAUUUGUAAAACAUUAAUCAAAUUUAUGAGGUUUUCUCCUAAAUUAUGACACUCUCAUGUCACUUUGUAUUCCAAAUUCAUUAAGCACAUUUAGUUUAAUUGCCUGAAAAAAGAGAUGCUGAAGGCAUUUUUAUUUUUCUUUAAUUUUGCCACUGACAGUAACUUAUAUUUUAUCCUUUUAUUAUCCCACAGACAGAGACACAAAUAUGUUUCCUUUCUUUCACAAAAGGAGAAGUCAGAUGAUGGUCAAAUGCAUUGUUCAAAAAGCCUAAUACUGAAAAUGCUUUUUGUACUGGUUUAAAACCAAUUAAAUCUAUUUAGUUUUAAAAAUUAAAGCAAAUAGAGAUAGAAGCAUUUAAUUAUACUACCAUUUUUCCUAAAUUGUGUUUCUUGAGCUAUAUUCUCUCAUUUUUUCCUUAUUAAUUUUUAAAACGAAGCUUUUAUAUAUUCUUAUUAACACUUACGUUGUACAAUAUAUGAUCCCAAGUAAUCACAUCAAAAUAUUGUGCUAACCUUCCAAGAUGUGGCUGUGACUACUUUCAGGUGACAUCUUGUCAAAAGAUGUUUCCUCGCCUUUCUUGUCUGAAUCAUUCACAGAAUCAUCGGACUGGCUCCCAGGGUGACUCUUAAAUUUUGGUGAACAUAAACUUCUCUCAAUUUCCACUUCCUGUUAGAAGACAUUAAAGGGAUACAUGUUAAAAGCUAUCAGUGGGAAACAGAUGUGGUUUUCAGGGGGUUUAGAAGGCAAUGAUGAGAGAGGAGGGGUGUUCCUAUGAGUGAUGUUUUCUAAUAUGCUCCGGGUAAAAUUUUGAUAACUUAGCCAAGAACUGCAAACAUAUAUCUGACACAUAGUUUACUUUCCUGCCACUAGUUCCACUUCUGAAUUAGCUUUCCUUUCAUGUGGCUUUUUUUUUCUCUCAUAAAAGACAGAAAGUGGAAAUAAGGGUCACAAUACAAUGUAAUAUAUGUUAAUAGAUCCAACUUCCUAAGACAUGAGAAAUGUCCAUGAAGGACUUCAAAAAAAAAUAGCAAAAUAUUGACAUUAUAUGCUUAAGACAGAAGGAAAUGAGUUCUUUUUAAUGUCAUGCUCACCCUGUAAUGAUAAUCUUAGUAAUUACAGAGCUCCCAAAUUACCAACCCAUUUAGCCACCAUAUAGUAAGUACAGUUUGGCAAUUCAUAAAGAUUGUGAAAUUACUUCUUUGAGAUAGUAAUUUAACAUCAAAGAGAGAAACAUUUCACAAAGGAAAAAGGAUAAAGUGUAUUUCAAAUACAGGAAGCUAGUGUUCCUUAUUUUAUGGAUUAAGUAAUAUAAUAUAAAACAAACCAAGUCAAUCAGACCAUUUUGCAUAAAAAAUGGUAAAAAGCUAAUAAAUGAUCUAAGCUCAAGAAGCAAAAGUAUAUAUAUAUAUAUAUAUAUAUAUAUAUAUAUUAAAAAAUCAAGUAAUAUACUGAAAAAUGUCUCAAUAUCUACUCAUAAGUUUUAUAUUUUUGUAUAUGAAAUUAUAUAUAUAUUUUUAAAUUUUAACAUUUAUUCAUUUUUUGAGAGUGAAUGAGACAAUGUGAGUUGGGGAGGGGCAGAGAGAGUGGGAGACACAGAAUCAGAAGCAGGCUCUAGGUUCUGAGCUGUCAGCACAGAGCCCAAUGAGGGGCUUGAGCUCAACGGACCGGACUGCGAGAUCAUGACCUGAGCUGAUGUCAGAUGCUUAACUGACUGAGCCACCCAGGUGCCCCUGAAGUUAUAUUUUCUAAACAGCAGCAAUUCAAAUAAUGAUGUGCUGAAUUGCUCUUCACUUUUUUUACUUUUAAAAUACACUGAAAGAAUAAGUUCGAGAAACAGCUAAAAACUCUAGAACAUUUCUUAGAGUAGAUACAUUUUCUCUGUCUAUGAUAUGAAUGAAAAGGCAAGGGUUUUGGAAAGAACCUCUUAGCAUGCUUAUGUUUUUUCAUUUUCAUACCCACUUACGUAUAUAUUAUCAAAUCAAAUAUAUAUAUCAAUGUAUAAUUAGACAAUAGUGGUAUGCAUUUAAUCAUCUCAUCUUCAAAUACCUCCCAAAUAUAUGAUGCAUACUAUCUUCAUUACUGUGAACCUAAACUGGAACUAAAAACAUUCACAGGAGAAAAACAGGGAAAAAGGAGUUUCCUUUAUUUCAGGGCAUUGCCCUUAACGUUUGUGCUUUCAACUAUUAUAAAAAACCCAAAGGUUCAUAACUGUAGUGAUGUUUAUGCUGUUGAAACACAAUUGCAGACAUGCAUGGCAUGAGUAUGAGCUCUAAGCUUAGCUAGUGAACAUGCAGAGUCCUCACCUAGUUCAUUCUGGUAUCCUCUCCUGCUGUCAUGUAAAGUGAUUGCUAAGAAAUGGUUACAGUAUCCAUCUGCUUUUGUUUUAGCCAUUUAACCCAACUCCUAGCAUUAGCAAAAAUAAGAUAAAUAAAGAGAAAAUGAAGAUGCCUAAAAGUAGUGACUCCUGUUCAGAAAAUUUUUGUUUUGACCAAAGAUGGAAUGCUAAAUAUAGCCAUGGACUCGACUGAUGACAUGAAAAGAUCACCUUUCUGUUUCAUACAGAAAUAUAUAAUUUGAUGAAGCAAAUAUCUCAGCCAGUGAUGACACUAACUUCUGCUAUAUUGGUAUUCUCAACUUCAAAUUCACAAACACCAAGAGUGCAUCAUAUACUGAGGUGGUAAAAGACCCCAGAGCCAGUCAACACAUGAAUGCAGUAGACCUGUUCCUAAGCCUCGACCUUCAAAUCCAAGUGAUUCUGUGGCAAGUUCCUUAAAUAAGUUCCUUAUGUCAAGUGGUAAGGAGGGGUCUGUGUAGGGACAUAAAAGAUCUUCUUAGACGAGGUUGAAUUGAGCUGUCUCUAAUCACAGCAGUGAUCUGCUUUAAUCUCUUUUAAUCUGUUUUAUGCACUGUUUCCACAAAGGAUUUACUUUGAGUAAAAAUCUACAGGCUUAAACAAAUACAAAAAACCAUCCUUUUAGAGUUAAAAUAUGUACCAGUUAAUGAUGGAAAACUUAUAUUUAAGCCUCCCCUUCACUGUUUAUUAAGCUGUGUGGCCUUGUUCUUGUUACUUGAUGUAUCUAAGUUUUCUCAUAUGUUAUGAAAAGAGUUUAGUCACUAAAUGUCUAACAUUGUAGCUUCGAGUCUAGUGAGGGAGACAAAGAGUAAUACAGCACAUAAAUCAAUGUAAAUAUGCAACUACACACAGGUCAGAAAAGAAAGACAUAUAAACGUUGAGUGCCUCAAAUGGGGGAAACAAACUACUGAGCAAGGUCUUGCAAAACUCCCCUGGAGAAAAGAUCUUCAGCUGAUAUUUGAAGGAGAAAUGGGGCUUAACUGAGUGAAGAACUUUUCAGGUGGAGAGAACAACAUAUGCAAAUGCUCUACAUUGGGAGGUAGUUCAGUGGAUAGAAAUGGGGCUGAAGCAUGGUGCCUGAAAGAGAACAAGAUGCUGGAUGACUUGUAGGGGUAGGUAGAGGCUAGAAUAUGAAGUAUCUGGAGGGCCAUAUUAACUAUUGUGGUCUUAGUCAAAUAGGGAAUUACUGAAAAAUUUUACACAAGUGUAUAAGUAUAUGUAUGUGUAUACGUGUGUGCAUAUGCACACAUGACAUAAUCAAGCCUGCAGUGUGAAAAUCUCAGUCUACCUCUGGAGCAGUUUUUCUCAACACUGGCAUCGUUGAUAUUUUGAACCAAAUAAUUCUUUGUUAUGGGGGCCUAUUCUAUGCAUUGUAGGAUGUUUAACAGCAUUCCUUGUUUCUACCCAUUGGAUGCCAAUAGCACUACCCCCCAUAGUCAUGACAAUCAAAAGUGUGUUCAGAUAUUGCCAAAUCUUGUGCAGAGAGCAAAGUCACCCCUGGUUGAGAGCACACUGUUCUAGAGUAGGCUAGACUGAAGGAAGGUCAAACUAUACAUGGGAAGAUCAGUGAGAAGCCUAUAAUAGUGUUCCAGGCAAGCAAUGCCCAUCCUGGUCAGAGUGGUGAUGGAAAUAGAAAGGAGUGAACUAAGUUUAAGGCCCUGAUGCAAAACUGACAAGUCAGGUAAUGGAUUGAAUCUAAGGCGAGAGAAAGAGAGAGAGAGAGAGCGAAUAUUUAAUUUUUCCUUCUGACAAAUACAUGAAAGGGAUUGCAGUACCAUUAAACAAUGUCAGAGCACCCGAAAAAGGCUGGGUUGGGAUAAAAGACAGAUCGUGAUUUGGGCAUCUACAUGUCCAAAAGUCAUCUGGAUAAGUAGCCUUGAAGCUUAGAGGAGAAGUCCUAACUGAACAAGCAAGUUGUGAGUCACCUGUCUUUUAGUGGUAAUUGAAACACAAACAAUGGGUGUGAAUAAACUUGCUUCAAUUGUGAUAAGAAACAAAUCCAGAACCAAGCUCUGAAAAGUUCUGACACUUAAUUUUGCUGUAGAGGAGCAGAAGCAGACAAGAAGAAAGAAAAAAAUCAGAAGGAAAGGAUAUCUGUAACAAUAUUGAACUCUUACUGAGUAUAAAUUAGGUAAGGACUUAAAUAUGUCCUUUGAGUUUAACAACAUGGAUAUAAACUGUUGAGCAAAAUGGUUUUGGUGGAAGUGAAAAGGUUGGAAGGCAGAUUGUAGUGGUGAGGGAUUGACUGGGAGACAGUGAGUGCACAUAACUUCUUGAAUAAUUUAGUGUUAAAGUGGAGGCAAGAAAUAGAGCAAUAACUUCAAAGACAUAUUUUGUGUAGUUUAGUUUCAAAGGGAGAGACUGCAUAUGCUGAAAAGCCAACUGGAAGGAUUUAGUGAGAUGGAGAGGUUGGCUUUACAGAAGAGAGACAGAAAAAUAAUGAUGUAAAAUUCCUAAGAGGGGAAAGAAGAUGGAAAACAAAGCAUAGAUAGAAACAUAACCCAAAGAUAGAGAACAUAAGGCAUUCCUGUUGUCACUGAGGUGAAGGAAGGUGACAUUAAUAUAGAUAUUGACAAUCUGUAUGCUUGGCAGCUUCAAGAUAAGUACAUUCCCGUCUGAUAAGAUGUAAGAACUGAGGAAAGUGGGAGGGGUACUUGAAAGGAAUUAAGAAAGUUUAAUUUCAUUGCUGUGGGGAAUGGGGAAGUGAGAUGAGCAGAGAUGUCCAUGGCUUAAUGCAGCACUGGGAAUCCAUUUGGGGUUGGUGAUGCAAAAGUUACAGGGCUACCUAUAGACCUGUGGAGUGACUUUGUUUGAAAAUCCUCCACAGUUCUAUUUCUGGCAAUGAGAAAGUAGAGAACUGACUUCAGCCAGGUACAGGUUUUGUGGGGAAAAAAUAAAAUGUGUGUUGCAGGGUAGGCUAAGGUGCAUAUGGGAGGGCAGAAACAAGACAAUGUAGGUUACUGUUAAGACAAUUCAGAGAAUGACUGGGAAUGAUACACCAGAGAAUGUAAGAUGGAUUAAAAGGGAAGAAAGUAAAGUGUGCGGAUUGCAGAUAAAGGAUCAAUAGACUAGAAUCUUGGUGAAUUUAAAGAUUGCUUAUACUGUGAAUACUUGGCAAAGCAAACUGGAAAGAGAGGAGACUGAGAUGUUUGUUUUAGUGAUUUGAGAAGUAGAACAAUUGCAAUUACUGUGACCACUGAAAUGGAAGCAGAGAGGGUAGAGGAGAAAAUCAGGAAAUAGGAGAGAACCUAAAAACUGAGAGGCUAUGAUGGUGUCUCAGGAUAAUGGCAGAAAAAGACUAUGUGUCCACUCUUCUGGUAAACAAGUGAAACUUAACUGAAGUGUAACAAGUAACAGUGAUGAAGGGGGAAAAGGGAGAACACCUGACUGGCCUGAGUCUCAAAUCAGCUGAGUUUUUAACCCAAGAAUGGGAAAGAAAUGGUUAGAAAGGACAAUGGCCUCAAUUUACAUGAGGAGGAUUCAGGGAUAGUGGUGUUUUCCGAGGAUAGCCAUGUUUCUUUUAAGGCAAGAAGAAGAAUUUUGAAGAAGAAUUUGAGGGUACAGAGGAGAUUGCUGACUGUGGAGAAGGAAUGCCAGAAGCACUGAUGGAAUCUCUGUCUUCAAUAAUAUCUAAACCAAUAAAAUCUCUCAAAGUCUAUAAUCUUUUCUAGCUUUAAGACACUUUGGAAACAGGGAAAUACGGAAAACUUAAGCUUAAAAGAAAAUGAGAUUAUUCUUCUUUGUUAUUUAUGUACACUACUUUCUUUAAUAUAAUGUGUAAUUAUAAUCUUAGAAGAUCUAUAUAUUUUUUAUAAUUAGAGAAUUUGAAAAUGCCAACCUUUACUCACAAGCUAACAUUUACUUCACAAGAGAUCAUGGAGCUAUGUAGGAUCAUCUAAAGUGUUCAGAACAUCCUACCAGGUAUUUCAAAAGAAAGUGGUUUGCCUUACCUUAUAUAUUUUUUUCUCUUAGUAUGGAUCCAUGAGUGAAGAGGUCAUUGAAGAGGAGGGGGGAGUAAAUGAUGAGCAUGAAUUAAUAAAAUGAAAAUGUUUGGACUUGCCUUUAUUUAAAAUGCUGAGCUAACUCAUGUAAAUUCCCAGACUCAGUGGGUUCUUGUCUUUAGAGAAAUAUAAAUGUUGAAAUAAGCAAACAUAGGAAGUUUUAAGCCAAAAUAAAGAGAAGGGCAGAAAUAAAGGGAAAUUACCAAAAUACAAGAUAUAGGAAAAGAGAUCUCAUAAUGAAUUCUGCUGUAUUGAGAGAAAAGGACCCCAAUCAUGGCUUGAACAAUUCAUGAAUAAACAAUCUUCUUGUUCACUCAUGCCUUUUGAGUGUUAUAUUCCCUUUUUCCCAGCUCCUUUCCUUGAAGACUUAACUUCCCCACUCUUUGUACUAAACAUAUCCUUUGCUUCAUAAGCCAACUCAGUGAAGCCUCCUCUAUUAAGCUCUUUCAGCCAUUUCAUUCUAUACUAAUCUUUCAUUCAUUCAAAAUAUUUUUAACAUUGAAUAUGUCUCAACUACUGUUCUGGGCACUGUGAAUACAAAUUAAGGUGCAGGUUGGGUCCUCAAAAGGCUCAUCAUCUGGUGGUAGAGAAAGAUACACCAAUUGAGCCAUAUAGUACACAAAUGAGUGUCUAAUAAUAAGGAAACAUAGGCAUCCUGGACAUAAAGAAAGAGGAUUUCUGGAGGGUAUGGUCAAACAAAGCUUCCUGAAUCAGAGCUGAAUCAUGGGCUGGAGUUGAACUCCAUCCUCUAGGUAACAGGAAACCUUGAAAGUGAUGACAAGAUUAGAUUUAUACUUUAGAUGGAUAUAUUUGUCAGCUAUAUGAACAAUAUAUACUAAUGAGAUAAGAUGGCAACAUCGUACAGAGUGAAUGUAGUAAGGAGUUUAUUAAAAUUUCCAACUGACAGACAGAACAAGCCUACAAUAGAAUAUUGAUAAAGGGAGUAGAGAGAGAGAAAGCACAUUAAAAACAUAUGUGGGCAUAAAAUUAGUAAUUUUUAGGAUAAACUAAUUUGUAGGAGGAGUGGAAGAACUCCAGCAUAACUCACAGAUAUUCUAAUUUGAUGGCUCUAUGAAGUUAAUAAAAUAAGAUGAAUCUCUUCCCCAAACCAAUCAGUGCCUCCCAGAGGCAAAGGCUAAUUUCAGGCUCCCUUCUGGACUCAUCACAAGGAGCAAGGUGAUCUAGGAGGGAUCUGGGACAUCAAACAUACGCCACACCCUCAGUUUGGAGGUAAUACUACUCUGGAUGGAAGCCACAGGGAGCGUCUCACAAACAUAUAGUCCUCUGUUCCUCUCAAUAUACAUUUCCCACAGAAAGUUAAACUGAAUUUUUCCACAGAAAUAUUGAUAAAGAACAACAGAGUUAUCUUGGUUUAAAAAUGAUGCCAGGGUUUCAUUGUUGAAGGUCUGGUAGUGAAUGAAGUUUUUGACACGUUAAAUAUGAGUUUUACAUGAGACAUCCAGAUGAAGAUACCCAGGAGGAAGUUAGAUUUUUCAAAAGAGAGGUCUGUGCUGGAAUGAAAGAUUUAGGACUCAUUAGCAAGAAGGUGAUAGUUGCAAUAGUAAGAGUCUAUUAUAUUAUCCAAUUAGAGUAUGUAAAAUAAGUGCAGAUAGCUGAGAAAAGAAGCUCAGUGGCACUGAAGGGACAGGCAAAGGAAGAACAUCUGAGGAGACAAUGGAGGAGGAACAGUCAGAGAAGCAGGGCCACUCCCAGCCCACAUGGUGCCUCUGUGUGAAUUAGUAAAGAGAUGUCUCUUCCUCAAGACACUUUACUUCGUCAGAAAAUUGUCACACUAUACUGAUUUUGUUAGACAGGAAUAUGUUACUGCCACCUGCUGGGAAACUGUUCUAAUAGAUAUGCCACUGUACCUUAUUUUUGAUACGCACCUCUUUCCUUUAGAUGUGUGACCCUGAGUAGCUUACAAUCUGUACAACUACAUAUGUAUAGUCUUCAAGGAAAAGUAAAAGCCAUUAAUGUCAUGGAUGUAGGACAUUUCAAGUACAGCAGAGUGUUUAGAGAAAAAUAACCAAUGAAAAAUAUUCUCUGGUUUGGGCAAUUACCUAGAUGUCCUUCAAUUACCAUAGAAAGAAAACUAUAUAAGGUAGUUGGAUAAUGAACAGAGACAAUGACAUAAAUUCCUAUCUUAAUCCUGAAGAAUUUGAAUAAUAAUAAUAAUAAUAAUAAUAAUGGCAAAAUAACAACUGCUAGAGAGUAUUGGACACUCAUUACAUAUUAGGCACUGUUUUAAGCACAUUGCAUAUAUUUCAUGCAUGUAAUCAUCAUUUCAACUCUAUGAAAAGGUCCUAUUAUACCCAUUUUAAAGAUGAUGAAGCUCAGGCUCGUAGGAGGGGAUGGACAAGGGCACAGAAGGUGAGGGUAAUAUGGAGAUGUGUAGGGAAUGGAAAGGAGAUCACUGCUUUGAGCCUCAAUUGUCUUUCUCAUCUCUGAAGAAAGCUCAUGAUGAGUUAUGUGAGGAAAAGCAAAGGGUAGUUUUCUCAUAAGACCAAAUUUUGGAUUCAGAAGGGCAGAGUUCAAUGUGAAGCUCCUCCAUUUAAUAAUAAAGUUACCUUGGCCAUCUCUUAACAUCCUGAACCUCAGAUUCCUUGUCAGAAAAAUGAAGACAACUACUGUCUACCCUAGUUUUAUAGUACUUUUACAGGGAUUGCUGUAAAGCAACAAGAGUAAUCCUCACCCACAUGCUCAUGUGCAAAGUCACUUUCCACUCUCUUGUCAAGAAGUAGUCUAUUUCUCUACUUCUUUGAGUCAUGAUGGUUCUUGUGGUGACUUUCCCCAGUGAAUACAGCAGGUAUGCUUACAACAGACUACCAUGGAGUAAAAGCCGUGGAGAAUGGGAUGAAAUGAGAUGAGAUGAGAUGAGAUGAGAUGAGAUGAGGAGAGGAGAGGAGAGGAGAGGAGGAGAGGAGGAGAGGAGGAGAGGAGNNNNNNNNNNNNNNNNNNNNNNNNNNNNNNNNNNNNNNNNNNNNNNNNNNNNNNNNNNNNNNNNNNNNNNNNNNNNNNNNNNNNNNNNNNNNNNNNNNNNNNNNNNNNNNNNNNNNNNNNNNNNNNNNNNNNNNNNNNNNNNNNNNNNNNNNNNNNNNNNNNNNNNNNNNNNNNNNNNNNNNNNNNAGGAGAGGAGAGGAGAGGAGAGGAGAGGAGAGGAGAGGAGAGGAGAGGAGGCAACUCAUGCAGAUAUGCAAAUAAAGAAUCCCUGCACCAGCUUUCAGCCCAGUCUCUUGGACUGCUCCCUUUCAGAAAUCAUGACUAUGUUUUGAAAAGCUCAAACCAUAUGGAGAGAUCAUUUAUGGGUGCUCCAUUCUAUAGCCCCAACUGAUUCCCCGGGUCAAAGGAGCAUCAGCUACCUGUAGCAUGAGUAAGCCAUCUUGGCUGUUCAUUACUGUAGAGCCUGCAGGUAACUAUGGCCCUAGCCCACAUUAGAUGGAAACUUCACGAAAGGUUCCCAGUAAGAACUGCCCAGUUGAGUCAAGUCAACUCACACAAACAGGAGAAAUAAAAUAGAUUCUACUAGGUCACCAAAUUUUGGGAGUGGUUUGAUAUAUAUAUUUCCAGAAAAUUUUAUCCUCACACACUGUAUAUCCUAUUUUUCAGCCUCUCUGGCCCUUAGUUUUCUACUCAGACAUAAGAAAACUGGAGAAAAAAAAUAUUCCUUGAAGAAAUCAUAAAGCCUAACAUUUUUUGAAUGUUACUUUGUGGCAAGUGCUCUGCUUUACAUACAUCCUUUUAAUUUAAUACUUCUAACAAUGCCAUGAGGAAGUACCUCUACUUUAUAGUGAAGACACUAAGGUUAGAGGGCUUAGUGACUUGCCCAACACCACACAGUAGGAAAUGAUAAACCUAGGUCUCAGAUGCUGGCCUGACUCUAAGUUGAUAUUUUUCAUUGUCACAUCAACCUGUCUUCCUAGUGUCUGACUGAUUGACUGAUUGAUUGAUUGAUUGUAGUUUGUCCUGGAAACUGAAAUAAUAUGGGUUAGAACUGGAUGACAGGUGAAAUAUCAACUCCCUAACAGCUAUAAGUGUGUCUUCUUCCUCCUCAUAUCUCUCAGCAUUAUGCUUUAUACAGAGUGGGCAUUUAAGAAACAUUGAGGUGAAUUUUCAAAAUCUCAUGACAUUUUACAUUUGCAUACCACCAAGGAAUGGAAGCAAAAGAAACAGAAAAAAACAAUAAUUAGAUGGGGAGAUCCUAAUGAUCAACAUGAUUACACUCCAGGCACAUGUCACCUAACAAGGGACAAAUGAAACCACGUGGUUUUGUAUCAUUGUAACCACAGUUGAUAAAGAAUUCUAAUGUUGGGUUUAUCAGCUGGGUCACUGGACUGCUUGAUUUCCCAGUAACUUCUCAAUAACUUGGCAUUUAGAACCUUUUAACAUGGUUCCACCAGGUCCCACAGGUGUGCUGGACCAUCCCUCUUUGGCUGUUCUCAAACAGCAUCUGGUGUUUCCUGAAUCAUCCCUGCACUUCCUGCUCCUCCUGUGUUCAUAUGUGUUUGUCUAAAGAGCAUUUUCCAAUGACCACACUUGCCAUAUUUUUCUAUAGAAACCGCAACUGUCUUCACAUGAGGUUCAAGGGCCACUUUCUUUAGGAAGCUUUCCCCUAAUGCCACAGCUAAAAGUAGUCAAUCCCUCCCAUGACAGAACUCCUCAAGCAUUUGCAGUCUCCUUAGUGCCUUUUUCCAUUCUGCUUUGUAUGCUAGUCAUUUCUGACACAUCUUGGUUUUCCCGUCACACUGUUAGCUCAUUAAGGACAUGCUUUAUUCAUCUUUAUAGCCCACAUGGUAUCUAAUACAUUGCUCUCCUUGAACAUUGCAGAUACUUACUAAAUGUUCGUUGAAUGGACUCAAAUAACUUGGAUUUUAUGGUCACAUAAAGCAUUCAGAAGAAAAUACAAUCUAAAAAUGUACAAAGAUGGUGAUGACAUGUCUCAUAGAGCGAAAGGGGCAUACAAAAAGAAAACAGGCUAACUCCCUUGGGUAGAGAGAGAAAACAAAAUUCGUACUCUAUGCAUAACAAACCAAAACUUUACUGCCAAUACUUUUAAAUAUUCCUAGAUAGAACUCAGCCCCUAAAAUGUACAUUAAUUUUGCCAUAAUUUUUAAAACUUUAAAUAAUUACAAAAAAUCCACAAUACAUAAGAGAAAUAAUAGGAGUACUAAAAUUAUUGUCUAUAAGCAAUAAAAUAUGCAUUUUUCUAAAGUAUUAUAAAACAAUUCCCUUUUUUUUUUGUUUGAGAGAGAGUGCACAAGCAGGGGAGAGGGGCAGAGGGAGAGAAAGAGAAAGAGAAAGAGAGAGAGAGAGAGAGAGAGAGAGAGAGAAAGAGAGAGAGAAUCUUAAGCAGGCUCCACUCUUAGCACAGAGCCUGAUGUGGGGCUUGAUCUCACAACCCUAGGAUCAUGACCUAAGUCAAAAUUAAGAGUCAGAUGCUCAACUAACUAAGGCACCCAGGCACCCCAACAAUUCCUUUUUAAAAAAAAUGGUUCAUCAGUUCUCAUGAUAUUUCUAUUACUCCUUCCAGGAUGUGUUUAAAUAUUAAAUAAAAAAUAUAUAGAAGCUAUCAGGUAAGAGAAUGCAUCAAUAAGUUUCAUGAUUUUUCAAAUUGCUUUUAUCAGUCCUUAUUGACUGUACGGCCAUAAAAUCAAUACUAUACGUAUCCCUCCUAUAGGCACUCUCUUCCCAAGUAGUUCUGCAGUUUCCUGUUCUACUCCUGUGCACUCAGCAUAUCCAGCCCCGUUAAUUAAUUCAUUU
rnacentral:lncRNA from 1 species